rnacentral:tRNA from 1 species
GCUUUCGUGGUGUAGUGGUCAGCACGCUGGGCGCUUAAUCCAGAGGUCUGUGGUUCGAGUCUCGGCGAAGAUG